UGGGUCGAUGAAGAACGCAGCUAAUUGCGCGUCAACUUGUGAACUGCAGGACACAUGAACAUCGACAUUUCGAACGCACAUUGCGGUCCUCGGAUUCUGUUCCCGGACCACUCCUGGCUGAGGGUCGUAUCUAUUUCAAAGACUGCUCGGUUUUCAUCAUCGUUCCGACACGCACAAAAAAUAAGUCGUCGUCGUCGAACGUGGAGAACGUCAGAGCGAGGUGGAUGUUAUACGCGUUGUAUUAUCGUCGACGACGUUUAUGUUAAAAACGACGAAGACGAUAGUUGAGACGACGCGACAUCUUAAAACGCGAAAGCGGCUUGGUAGCUUACAAAUUUAUUUGUCGAGCUAUCAGGCGUAAUUUAGAAGCGUCGUCGUGUGAGCACGUCAGAUGGUGACCGAAACACCGUCGUCGUAUAAAACGAUCGUCGUGUCCGAUAAUUUCGAAUGAAAAAUAAAUCGGAAGAGACGUCAGAUCGUUAGCACGCACAAUAGACUUGAACGUUUCGACCGAAAAACUUUCGUUUUAUCGACCUCAGAGCAGGGGAGACUACCCGCUUAAUUUAAGCAUAUUACUAAGGCGGAGGAACA
rnacentral:rRNA from 1 species